rnacentral:tRNA from 1 species
GGAAAUGUGGCCGAGUGGUUUAAGGCGGUAGAUUGUAAAUCUAUUUGAAGUUCUAACAUUGGUUCGAAUCCAAUCAUUUCCA